rnacentral:rRNA from 1 species
CCUACGGGUGGCAGCAGUAGGGAAUAUUGCUCAAUGGGGGAAACCCUGAAGCAGCAACGCCGCGUGGAGGAUGAAGGUUUUCGGAUUGUAAACUCCUUUUGUUAGAGAAGAUAAUGACGGUAUCUAACGAAUAAGCACCGGAUAACUCCGUGCCAGCAGCCGCGGUAAUACGGCGGGUGCAAGCGUUACUCGGAAUCACUGGGCGUAAAGAGCGCGUAGGCGGGAUAGCAAGUCAGCUGUGAAGUCCUAGGGUUUAACCAUAGAACUGCAUUUGAAACUGGUGUUCUAGAGUCUGGGAGAGGGAGGUGGAAUGCUUGGUGUAGGGGUAAAAUGCGUAGAGAUCAAGAGGAA